rnacentral:rRNA from 1 species
CAGUAGCCGCGGUAAUACGGAGGGGGCUAGCGUUGUUCGGAAUUACUGGGCGUAAAGCGUACGUAGGCGGCUUUGUAAGUUAGAGGUGAAAGCCUGGUGCUCAACACCAGAACUGCCUUUAAGACUGCAUCGCUUGAACGUCGGAGAGGUGAGUGGAAUUUCGAGUGUAGAGGUGAAAUUCGUAGAUAUUCGGAAGAACACCAGUGGCGAAGGCGGCUCACUGGACGACUGUUGACGCUGAGGUACGAAAGCGUGGGGAGCAAACAGGAUUAGAUACCCCCGUAGUCCCUGUCUCUUAUAC